rnacentral:rRNA from 1 species
CCUACGGGGGGCUACAGUGGGGAAUAUUGGACAAUGGGCGAAAGCCUGAUCCAGCCAUGCCGCGUGUGUGAAGAAGGCCUUCGGGUUGUAAAGCACUUUCAGUGGGGAAGAAAGCCUUGGGGCUAAUACCCUCGAGGAAGGACAUCACCCACAGAAGAAGCACCGGCUAACUCCGUGCCAGCAGCCGCGGUAAUACGGAGGGUGCGAGCGUUAAUCGGAAUUACUGGGCGUAAAGCGCGCGUAGGCGGUCUGAUAAGCCGGUUGUGAAAGCCCCGGGCUCAACCUGGGAACGGCAUCCGGAACUGUCAGGCUAGAGUGCAGGAGAGGAAGGUAGAAUUCCCGGUGUAGCGGUGAAAUGCGUAGAGAUCGGGAGGAAUACCAGUGGCGAAGGCGGCCUUCUGGACUGACACUGACGCUGAGGUGCGAAAGCGUGGGUAGCAAACAGGAUUAGAUACCCCAGUAGUC